CCCUUAGAUGUUCUGGGCCGCACGUGCGCUACACUGAUGCAUUCAACGAGCCUAUCCUUGACCGACAGGUCCGGGUAAUCUUUGAAUCUGCAUCGUGACGGGGAUAGAUUAUUGCAAUUAUUAAUCUUCAACGAGGAAUGCCUAGUAGGCGCAAGUCAUCAGCUUGCGUCGAUUACGUCCCUGCCCUUUGUACACACCGCCCGUCGCUCCUACCGAUUGGGUGUGCUGGUGAAAUGUUCGGAUCGGCCGUUUGUCGCGGUUUCCGCGGCUCGUGGCUGAGAAGUUCAUUAAACCCUCCCACCUAGAGGAAGGAGAAGUCGUAACA
rnacentral:rRNA from 1 species